AAAGCACCGAUGAGUCAAGGUGGAUUUUCCAUGGUUUUCAGAGUUCAACAAACUGAUCAGAAGAAUCUCAAGAACAAUCCCAGUGAAGGCCUUACAUGCAUCUCUGAUUCUUUUUGUCUUUUGACAGUCCACUCUCUUUUCUCAAAUUGUUUGGACGUUUUCCAGAUUAGGAUGAAGGCUAAAAAGUAAUCCCUUUGGAUGCCGACAGUUCCCACAGUAAGGGUGAGUAACUGUUUAUUAUUCAGAGCAUAGCCUUAAAGUAUGAAAGAACUUUAUGAUUCUAACCAGGUACUUUGGGGGCAAAAUGUUUAAGUGAUCCCAUCUUCUAAAUGCUCAAACUUCCACGUCACAAAGGUGUGAGAUAAUUUAACACGAUAGUGCUGCUAUUUGAACUGAAGACCAUCACAUCUGAUUAUAUAUUAGUUAAAAUAAUUAUGUAAGUUGGUGUGAUGCUCUUAUCUCUGCUAGUACACUUUGCUGGACCAUCAACUGAUACGAAACUGCUCUACCAUUCUCUUUAACAUCUCAUUUGAAAAUAACUAUAUAUUAUACAGCCUACUUCUCUGGGUAAGUACUAGUCCAGAAUAAAGAUUGUGAUUAAUUGAAUAGCUCACAUGGGCUAAUAAUAGAAACUCAACAAAACCAGGGAGAAAAGAGACCAUCAAUAUAAGGGAAAUAAACUAAAAAUAAAUAAAAAUGCUACCAAUUGAAAUUUCCAAUGAAGAGUAGGGAUAUAUCUAAUAAAGCAGUUCUGUCAGUAAUGCUAAUCUCAUUUCAGGGGAGAGGUUAUGCUUAUCUUCUUACACUAGCACUUCUCUUGUUCAAACCUCAGUUGUCAACUAAGCACGCCUGAAAUGCUGAUCACUAGGAACACCACAGGCACUGAACUCAAGUGCACGCAGGCUGUGUUCUGCAGUAACAGUUUUAUGGUGACUAGACUUAAAGCAGUCACUUUUCUGAGACACUGGAGACAAUACUUGUCCCAGGGAUUUUCAAAACCAAAAUCUGGACUGAUGUGGCAUUUUUGUUUGUUUGCUUUUUUAACAACACAAAAUCAGUUGUGUUUGUGUUUCUAAAGAUGCUGAUGAGCCAAACUCUAUUUCUAUUCUUCUGUGUUUAUAAUAUUCACAAGUUUGUCCUGAACUCACAACAUUGCUCACACAAAGCAAAUGCAACUCUCAUACACAACAGACAGAAGACUGCAACACGGGAUACCAAAUAAGUGGGCUAUUAAUGCACUAUAUGUCUCCCCAGUUGAAUAUUUUAAAGGAAAAAAAGAACAUUUGAAGAAAAAUUGUGUGGCUUUUAGAAGCUAAUCUGAGAAGAUAACGUUGUAGAGGUUAACAAUGUGGCAGGUUAUUAAUUGCACAGUUGCAAUAAUGUCAUCCUUUGUCUAUGGGUUGAGGUAGAACAAUCAUUUAGCUGGAAGCAUUAAUCCACAUGGCAAGCCGCCAAUCACUGUACUCAAUGCAUGUACUUGGUGCCAUUGUAUACUUCAACACAAAUGUUUGCAGAGUAGUACCCAUUUCUGAUUACUGUUAGCAUAACCUUCAACUAGUGAGAACUAUUCAUUCCAAUGGGUAUUUGAAGGAGAAUUUCUACCACAGGUAAGGUCACGGAGUUCCAGGAAACUACUAAGUAUGGGUUUUUCAUAGAAGAUAAAUUACUGAAAACAAAGUCCUGCCUGUUCUGAAAAAGCAGUAAUAUCCCAUGGCGUUUUUUUAACAGCUGGUGGUUGUCUUUGGGAAAACCUCCAUGCCUCCAUCCACAUGGUGGCUGCUAUCCCCUGUUCAAGAGGUUGCCAGAAAUGCGGAAUACAAAUACUUUGGAAUGAAAGAUGCUACAGAAAUGUAAUAUACUGUCUAAUUGUCAAACAGGUAUGUCCAUUAUUGCUUAUGGCAAAAGUUAUUUAGAGCACUGAAUAGACCACAGGAGCCAUACAACAUUUUCCCUGCUGUAAAGGUCUGCUUGCAAGGUCUGUUUUAAUUCAUUCAUAAUAGCAGCAUAUUACUGGCAUUGUGUGAUUUAAGGAUGAAAUUUAAUGUGCACCUACUGCAGUUCUGUAGAUAGAAAACUACACCGUAUCAUACAGUCAUCAUUUUGCAUAAUAUUGUGCAAUAUAGGUGUGGAAUAAACUAUGGAAUUGAAGUGUUUUCCUUGUGAAAUUAAUUUUAUGAUGCAUAAUUUAAAAAGUUAGAAAGCUGGGCUGUUUUAUUCUGCUGUAGUUCCAGACAUGAUAAAAUCAUUUUGUUUCCACUACAGUAUAACAAUAAAUCAAGACGUUAUUCUACGACUCUUGCUCGUUUAAAUGAAACCAAAUCUGCAUGUCAUUCCCUUUUUACAGAACAGGCAAUCAGUUUGCAUCGCAUCCUGUUGAGCAGUUGCCUUUUCUGUGUUUGCAUUCCAGCAUGUGGGUGAGGUUUUAGGGAGCAUGCAUGCACAUGCAUACAGCCACUGAACGUAUUGCUGUAGGCACAGGGACAGGUUUUUGCGCCCACCUUCAUUAUGGAAUACUAUAGGCAUCUAAUCUACAGAUAUACAACAGUAUAACAAAAAUUUUGGUCACAUCUCUUUUUUUUCUAAGGAGUUCUGAAAGCUAUUUCAGAAAUCCGGACCAGUUACUAUUUCUAAAUAGUAACUUCUUACUACCAUAAAGAAGUUAAAACCAUUACAUCUAUUUUUCAUAUUAAAUAACCUCAGUGCCUGAGGAUUAAGCAAUUUGCCAAAAUCCCAGCUAGUUAACAGCACAAUUGGGAAUAGCACAAUUUUGUAUUGCAACUAGUUUUAUUCUCUAUUUUCAUCAGAUAAUCUUGUGUUGAAGUAUACAGCAGCACCAAGUACUGCAUUGAGUACAGUGAUUGGCGGCUUGCCAUGUGGAUUAAUGCUUCCAGCUAAAAAAAAAAGGGGAUGAUAAUAAUGAAUGGCAUCUGCCUGGGAAUAUCUUAUGUUUUUAAGUAUACGAAAAAUUGAUUUCAAAAUGAACAGGCUCAAAGUUUGCAUGAGAUUCACCAAGUAAGUCACUGACAUGUACAUUUGAUAAAAACAUCCUAUGUAAUAUGCUGAUGGAUUUCUAUUCAGUUUAUGAUAUGACUACUGAUUUUAUUUUAUUAUUAUUAUCAAGUGCAAUAGGACACGUAAAGGAUUUAACUCCAGUUAAACAAGAAAAACACUGGUAGUAUUUCAAGUUAGAAUUGUCCUGUCUACGUGACCCAAGGUAAUACUAAAAUUACCCCAUAGCUGGGUUUGUAAAAGGGUUAUGCUCUCCACUGGAGUUCAGUUACGGUAACUGAAGUGUAACUCUGCUAACGACAAAAUUACACAGGUAGUAUAAUUUAGUCUUUGUUUUUAAUAUUAUAUUUCAGUAAUUUAUAUUUGCAAUAUCUAUGCUAGUCAUCUACGCAAAGACAGAUUUCACCCUCAGAAGGAAACAGAUCACUUUAUUCUAAAUUGUGAGCAAUGCAAUUGUCUGUGUACGCUGGCCUGACAGAUGAACUUGUCUAACACUAAGACUACAAAAAAGCACCCCGUGUACUGUCAGGUAAGUCAUUCUGGCUUUUUACAGUGAGUUAUAAUAGUAAAUGCAGGAUCAGAUCCAAGAAAUUUUCUUCUUUCUUCAGUACACUCCAAAAUACAUUUUGCUCCUAUAAGUGUACAUUACAACCAUUUACUUUCUUAGAGAUGCACUGCCCUGUUGAGGCAUAUUUAAGAUUAACAGGAGAUACUACGAUGCAUUCCCACUGCUACCAUUACAGUUUCACUCUGCUACUAUUUUUGCUUUUGGAUCAUCACAGUGAAUAUUCUACCACAUUACAUGUCAUGAUUACUAAGUUAUUUUGCUUGUUGAACUGUAUUUCUGAGCAUGCAUUAAAUAAGAACUAGUGAGGUGGAAUAAAUUCGUACUCAAGUAACACAAGGAAGUUUCAAAUGAUGUAGAGUGUUUAGUGAUUUGAGAUACAGCACAGAGUUGAGAUAUGGGACAAAGUAGCUGAAGUAUAGCACAGGUAUCUUUUCUGGCAUGUACGUGCCAGUAUUUGUAGCAAGUAAAUACCAUAAAGAUAGUAACUGCAGAGCAAAGAGUCUCAUGUAUAAGAAUAAGCCCACGGUGAUAUAGACCAAAAGAGCUAUCUUAACCUUUGUGUAAAUUGCAUAGAAGUGUAACUUGUGUAUACAACUGUGCACUGUGGCAUAAAAACAAAUCCAAUAAGGCAGAGAAUUCUCACAUUCUAAUUACAGUGUUUACCUGUAGUGGUUUAUAUUGCUUUUUACUGUACAUUAACAUCUAUUAAUUCACCCUAGUUAAGUACUGUGUACUGAUCAGAGACAAACACUGCAUGAAAUUAUCCAGAUAUUUUCAUUAAAAAUAAAGUAAAUUUUUAAAGAGGGAAAAAGCUCGGCUAGAGCUUGAAAUGUUGUACACAGAACCAAUAGAAAUGCCCUUAGCUCAACCUGACUUGAGUCAGGUUGACUGGAUUUAGAAGACUACACAAUGUUUUCUGCACAGCAAUACAACUGCACAAUGAAAAGUUCUGAAGAUUCAGCUUUUAAAAAGCUAGCUCAUUAAAGAUAGAAUUACUUUAAUCUUUUCCUUUAGAAUAAACAAACAAAAGAAAAAAACAACAAAAAACAGACGUAUAGAGCAAAAGAAUUUCGAACAUGUCAGUCCCACUCCAUGUAGCUCCAGUGCCACAGGUUUCUGUCAGGAGAUGUGAAAUUUCCAUUGUUGUUACAUACUGGAGCCUCAGGCCACAUAGCUGCUAUAAUAGCAUUAUAGCUAUUUCUGUCCUUAUGGAACGGGGCCAAAGCUUUUCCCAGGAAUAAAGGAUACAAAAUGAAGAGUGAUGUUUUUAUCUUCACUAUUUCUUCCUGGAGAAGGCCAAGCUGAUGGAAGGCAAAUCCAUCAAGAGUUGACAAACACAAAGCAUCAUCUCUGGCUCAGGAAGUUCCUGAACUACAGAUUGCAGCAUGGUUGAACAUUGGCGGAAGUUACAUGUGCUUUCCUUCAGUUAUAGUUCUUUCUCAAUGUCCAUUUUUGGCCAUUGUUAGAGACAGGAUACCAGGCCAGAUAAGACUUUUGGUCUUACCUAGAAAGAUCAUUCCUAAGUUCUGAGGUUCAUUUAGAUGGUUGAAUGUCUGACUUUAAAAGAGAAAUGUCUAAUUUUUAAUAAAAUUGAAGGUGUAUUAUAGAUGCCUGUGGUUUCUUUGAACCUACUGUAAUUAUUACUUCAGGAUUUUGCCAUCAGUCUUAUUUUUUUUAUUGUAGUGCACCACACCUCUCAUUCAUUAGGCAUCCAGUGAGCUGGCAAAAGCAGUUUGGAGGUGUUAGAAGGUAAAUUAUAGCUUUGCUGAAUGUCUUGAAUGCUGACUUUAGAAACACUAUGGAAAGUGACUAUGGAAAGUGGUCAUGCAGAAUGGCUUCAUUAACAGCCCUAAGGCCAGCGUGUGUGAAAGAAACGGUGGAGGGACAGGAGAUGUUUUAUUUCUUCUAGCAACCCAGUAAAUGCUUGUUCACCAGGCUGAACCAUACAAGUCAGCCCAUUAUAGUCAGAUCCAAGGUCUCUGGCUUCAUUCCAGGCUAAGAUUCACAAAGACAAACAUGUGUAUGCUAAUUAAAAUCAUGAGAGUCUACUUAGGCCAAACAGUUAAAGACAAAAGACAGAACCAUUGUUGAGCUGCCCAGAUGCAGGAGCAGGAGAAAGCAAGGGGGAAAACAGAGUCACCCUAAAUUUUUGUACAUUUUUGAUUUUGCUACUUGUGAAACUACAUUUGAGAAGCUGUAGACUCUGGUCAACAUGGUGUCAAUUUGGUUUAAGUCCCACAACCAUUUUUCAAGUGAGCUAUUUCUUCUCCUGACUUUGCAGACAGAACCCUGCAGCAGAGCCUGUUUUAAGAAAUUCAAGAUGCACUUCAGAAAAUCCUUGGCUGAAGUGAUCUCCACUCCAGGCAUCUAAAGAUCAACAACUAUCUUGCCGAGAGGAUCUCAAGUGUUCUGGGAUUCAGUUUGUCUCUGCAGACUAAAACUGCACUGCCACUGUUUGUUCAGCCGUUGCCAUUGUGUGAUACAAUGGGCCUAGAUUACCAUUUAUCAGACCUGUUCUUCCAGCUAGUCUACAUUCCUCGCCUUCUCCACUUCCAGGAUGGGGAGAUCCUUCCUGAGCCUCCCAAAGACGCAUGCUCUCCUUUCAAGAAAGCAACAUUCACUUUAAUAAUUAAUUUAAAACUGAAACAAAUGCUUUGAAGAAUAUUUUGAUUUAUCACCUUGAUAUAAUGAUCUCCUUCCUCUAAAGCUUCACAAUUCUGAUAAAAUAAACGUAUUCC
rnacentral:lncRNA from 1 species